GGAUAUUUUUAUUUUCUAAAUAAUCACCGUUAGUUUAUUUAAGAAUACAUUCUGACCUUACUCUAGAACUACCUUCUGUAUCUUUGCCAUACCCUGUGCCUAAUACUCCGUUAACAGUGAGCGGAUGUGGGAGGUGGUCUUUUGCUGUGGGGUACUCUGGUGAAGGCAAGAGAGGGGCAAACGGUCUGCAGAGAAUUUAUGAACAGUAGUGAAACUUGACCAGAAUGCUUCUUCUUGUCAUCAUGUGCCGGCAUUUCUGAACCUAAGUGGAUAAAAUACUUCUGUGCAUUAGGAUGGUCUACUCUCCUUGACACUGGGUCCACUCUCUCUCCUACCAUAUACCACCCACUUUAAUACUGUUGCAUUAACUAAACACACAUGUAGCUAUUAUAUGUCAAUGUAUUUUAAAUAUAUUGUUUGAUUUGAUUUUCAUAUUCCUGUGAACUGGGUACUUUAAUGGGCAUUAUGGUUGAGGAAACAGAGGGUCAGAGAGGCAAAAAACUUUAAUGCCACACAACCAGUACUGACAGAGCUGGGGAGGGGUGUGUGUCUAAUAAUCUAGCCAAUGUAAUUUCUACUGCUUAUGCUUUAGUGAGCUUUUAGUGCAGGUACAUGCUUGUUAAAUCCUUUUGGCUAGUAGUCCCCAGACUCUUCAAUUCUAUAUACCAGUAAAAGUGUUCUGUUUUUUAAUUCAGCAGAGAAAAUGCAUAGAGAGGAGAAACGGUGAAGGCAUUAAAAUUUAGUUCUGCCAAAAUUUUAUUUUCCAAGUAAUAAAGUGUUUUUAAAACCUUCCGUUUAUAAUAACCAUUAUUUUAUGAAAAAUAUAAAAUUUAAUUAAAAAAGGAAAAACCACAUGUUAAGAGGAAUAAAUAGAGACAUUUAUAAAAAUGUACUGCACUGUCAUCAUUCAGUGUGGAUUAAAGUAGAAGUUAUUCAUAGGCCAGAAGUAGUUUGAGGACUGGCUUUGGGGAUCACUUUUUUUAAGCUCCAUUUUGUGCUUAUUCGUGUGUUUCCUAAACCCAGAAAAAAAGUUUAAAAAGUUGAUACUGUCCUGGGCAUGCAUAGUUUGUUUUUCAUCAGAAUAAGAGGAGUAUAGGAUUUUAAGCAGAGGAAAGGUAAUAUGUCAGUUAAAUAUUAAAAGGGUCUUUCUGCUGCUAUGUUAAGAACAGGGUAUAGAGGGAUAAGGGUUAUAUGCAGAGAGACCAGAUAAAAGGCCAUUACAGUAAUCCAAGUGAGAUAUGAAUGUGGGUUGGAUUAAGUGGUAGCAGUGGAAGAGGUGAAGAAAUCUUAAAUUCUGGAUAUAUCUGGAAGAUUGAAUACAGUGGAUUUAUUAGUGGACUAGAUGUGGGGAGAAAAACCAUGGAUGAUGCCAGAUUUUUGGUGUCAGCAACAGGAAGAAUGGCAUUGCCCUAAACAGAAAUAAGAAUGGUUAAUGAAUGGUGGAGCAAGUUCUUAGUGAAAAUUGAGGAAAUUCGUUUUGGAUAUAUGGAAUUUCAGAUGUCUAGUAGAUGUUAUAAAUGAGUCUGGAGUUUGAGAGGGAUCUGAACUGUAAGUAUUGUAUAAAGAUGUAUUUAAAUCAUGAGUCUGGGUGACAGUACUAAGAGAAUAAGUAUAGGUGGACAGAAGAAUACCAAAGACAUACUGGGGCAUUCCAACAUUAAGUAAGAAAGAAGAAUAGGCAGUAGAGACAGAACAGGAGUGAACAGUUAUGUCGGGGGGACAUCAGAAGAGAGUGGUUUACUGGAAACUGAAGAGAUGCAAGUCCAUCAAAGAGCAAGGAGUGAUAACCUGUGUCAAAUACUCCUGAUAGGUAAGUAAGAUGAGAGCCGACAGCUGACCUUCAGAAGUUAUUGAUUAUCUUUGGUGAGCAGUUUUGACAAGCCAAAAAACCAGUUGUGAUGGGUUUAGGACAGAAUGGAAGGAAAAGGAUCAGAGACAGUAACUGCAGACAAUUUUUUCAAGAAAUUUAACCACAAACAGAAGCAAGGAAAUGGGGUAGCAGCUAGCUGGUGGAGAAGUCGGGUUAAGAAAUAGCACAUUUGCUGAAGGAAAUUGAUGAUAACAGGUGACCGAUGGGAGAACUGCUAUAAUACCGUCUUUGAGCAGGAGGAAUGGGCGCUGGUGCACAAGUCGGUGGACUGGCCUUACAUGGUAACAUGGAGAGUUGAGCUAAGGGAAGGUGGAAAUAUGUGGGUGCAAAAUCCUGGGACAUGGGUAUGGAUGGUGGUAAGUCUGGAAGUUUUCUUCCAUUUUCAGUCAUCGACUGUAGAUGAUGAUGGGAGAGGAGAUACUGGAGGCUUAAAGCAGAAAGGUAUGAAAUAUUCUGGGAGAGUAAGUGGGCAGAUGGACCAGGGCAAUGAACUAUGAUUGCCUGGCAGCCUGAACCUCCCUUUAAGGUUUAUUCUUAUGAACCAGUCAACAUAAUGGUGUUUUUCUCAUUUAUUUAUUUUGAGAGAGAGAGUGCAAGUGGCUGAAGGGCCAAGAGAUGGGGAGAAUCUCAAGCAGGCUCUGCAUUGUCAGCACAGAGCUCCACAUGGGGCUCAAACUCAUGAAACCAUGACCUGAGCCAAAAUCAAGAGUCGGACUCUUAACCAACAGAACCACCCAGGCACCCCUGGAGUGGUGUUUAUCCUUACCAUCCUGUUUUUUUUUGUUGGUUUUUUUUUCUGUUUUUUGUUUUUAGUGUGAAGUAUAACACACAAGAAAUAGAACAUAAUUAGCACCUCAGAAACGACUGUGUACCCUUCUAGAUUAUAAUCCUUUCCUUCUCAUUGGAAGAUCAUCCAUUAUGAUAAUCAUUUCGUCGUCUUUGUAUUAAGUUUUACCACCUGUGUAUUCAUUCCAAAACAAUAUGAUUGAAUUUUUCCUGUUUUUGAAUUGCAUUUUUUUUAAGUUUUUAUUUUAAUCACUUGGUGCUCAUCACAACAAGUGCACUUCUUACUUCUUAAUCCCCAUCACCUCAUCCCCUCCUCUGGUAACCAUCAGUCUGUUCUCUAUGGUUAAGAGUCUGUUGCUUGGUUUGUCUUUCUGUCUCUCUCUCU